UCCGAAUAAAAUGCCGAAUUGCGUUCUAAAAGAAACGAACAGACUGUUCUCAUUCAGUUAGAACGCAAUUCGGCAGUUUUGUGGAAAGUGACAGGAAGCAUUGUGGGAACACAGAGGAAAGCUAAGGAUCAUGGGAAAAUUGCUCUGACUAGCGGAAAUGAAGCACACUUUGCUCCUCCGCUGGUCAGAGCUGGUCAAGCGGAGGAAUCCUCCAUAAGGCAAAGAGUCCCUACUUUGUCUUAUGAUUUUAAAGAAAACUAA